rnacentral:rRNA from 1 species
UGGUGGGUAGUUUGACUGGGGCGGUCUCCUCCUAAAGAGUAACGGAGGAGCACGAAGGUUGGCUAAUCCUGGUCGGACAUCAGGAGGUUAGUGCAAUGGCAUAAGCCAGCUUGACUGCGAGCGUGACGGCGCGAGCAGGUGCGAAAGCAGGUCAUAGUGAUCCGGUGGUUCUGAAUGGAAGGGCCAUCGCUCAACGGAUAAAAGGUACUCCGGGGAUAACAGGCUGAUACCGCCCAAGAGUUCAUAUCGACGGCGGUGUUUGGCACCUCGAUGUCGGCUCAUCACAUCCUGGGGCUGAAGUAGGUCCCAAGGGUAUGGCUGUUCGCCAUUUAAAGUGGUACGCGAGCUGGGUUUAGAACGUCGUGAGACAGUUCGGUCCCUAUCUGCCGUGGGCGCUGGAGAACUGAGGGGGGCUGCUCCUAGUACGAGAGGACCGGAGUGGACGCAUCACUGGUGUUCGGGUUGUCAUGCCAAUGGCACUGCCCGGUAGCUAAAUGCGGAAGAGAUAAGUGCUGAAAGCAUCUAAGCACGAAACUUGCCCCGAGAUGAGUUCUCCCUGAGACUUAAAGUCUCCUGAAGGAACGUUGAAGACGACGACGUUGAUAGGCCGG